UGCAUUAUAUACACACUACACAAACACACUGCAUUAUAUACACAGUGUGUUUGUGUAGUGUGUGUAUAUAAUGCAGUGUGUUUGUGUAGUGUGCAUUAUAUAA
rnacentral:miRNA from 1 species